CUGAAUGUGCAGAGCCUGCUUCAGAUCCUCUGGCGUCCCCUCUGUCUGCCUUCCCUCAUUUGCUCUCUCUCUCAAAAACAAACAUUAAAAAAAAUGUAGGUUAAAUAGACUGCUGUGGACUUACCUGGGAAUGGACUUACCACAAUGUCCGAUAUUGGCCCAAUGAGAAACAACUUUAGACAAGGAAUUUACAAACUAACUUGGAAAAUAUAUUUUAAGCAGAGACUAUUUCAAGUCAGAUUCUGGUUUUAAGCUAGUUUCUUCUUUUUGCCUUUAGUUUGUAGGAUAUAUACUCAAUAUAUAGCAUGUGUAAUAUAUAUAUAUAUAUACACACAUAAUGGCAAAGGCCAGUGCCUUAACAAAGCACAACAAUGUUAUAUUUAUUAAUGAAUGCAUAGUUAUUAAUUAAGGUCCUAAUUGUAAAUUCCUUAUAAAUUAAGUAAUGAUUUAGAAAUUAUUAAUAUAAGAAUAUAUUCUAACUCUGGAAUCUUGCUUCCCUAAGAAAUUGACAUACUUGUUUUGCCUGUGGAAACAUAAAAGUAUUUUCUAAAAGCUAACUCACUAACAAAGCAAAAAAAUUUAUAUCAAACCAACGGUGAUUAGAUUUGAUAAUGCAAAUGUGAACUGACUUCUAAAUAAGAAAGGUACAAUUUUUCUUCCUUUUGGUUAAACAUAUAUCCUUUAUAUGGUAUAAUAGAUUUCAUGUACCUACACAAACACAUACCUAUAAGUAAUGUCCUGAACAAUAAAUAUGUUCUGGAAGUGAACUUCCAUGUCAUUCUAGCUUAGUGCCCUCACAAAGGAAAGAAGAAUUAUGACACUUCCCCUAAGGCAAGUAAACUUAUUUUUUAACAAAUGCUACUAAUAAAUUUUACUCAGUCAUAUGCUUUCCUUAGUCUAACAAUUUUGUCACUGUAUUUGCCUUUUAGAGUGUAUAUAAAAUGUGUGUGGUUUUCUUUUUGUGUUCAUUACAGGUUUUUCUCCACUUAGAGCAUUUGGAAGGAAACAUUUGCCUCUGUAAAGUACUAGUUCCUUCUGUAACAUCAGAGUGUUACAGGUAACAGAGUUGGAGAAUCGUAUAAGUAUGGGAAUUCUGGGUGGCGAGAAUAUCAAUGAAGAUCAGAGCACCCAAGACCUGCACAGCCAAGUAAUCAAAGAACAGGCCAAGACUUGAAGAGUAAUGGAACCUACAGUCAGAAGUAUUCUAGUGGAUUGUGAACAAAUAAAUCGGAAGGGAAGAAUACUAAUGUACACUUUCCCUGGAAGAGUUACCUUCAAUGGUACUGAGGUCUUCUCAUUAAGGUUUAUUACAAAGUUUACUACCUCCCAGGAGAAGGGGAAGUAGGUAUAAGGAAUUGAUUGUGUGAGUUUAAUUGACCAGGCCACAGCAAACCAAAACACCCCUUAGAACCAGGGCCAGCGUCCUGGGAUUUAACUCUUAUGUGGGGAAGGAUCUGUGCCUCUUCCAAAGGGUGAACCAGUAACGGAAGUUACUUGUAUUCUGAAAACAUCACAAAAAGGGCAUCUAUAUACAACAGAUUGAAAUUUUCCAUAGUUUUUAUUUUAUAAAUAAAGCAUUUUUCCUGCUUA